rnacentral:rRNA from 1 species
UACAGGGGGUGCAAACGUUGCUCGGAAUUAUUGGGCGUAAAGCGCACGUAGGCGGUUCGUUAUGUCGGAUGUGAAAGCCCUUGGCUCAACUGAGGAAGUGCAUCCGAAACUGGCGAGCUAGAGUAUGUAAGAGGGUCGCGGAAUUCCCGGUGUAGAGGUGAAAUUCGUAGAUAUCGGGAGGAACACCGGUGGCGAAGGCGGCGACCUGGGACAAUACUGACGCUGAGGUGCGAAAGCGUGGGGAGCAAACAGG